GAGAUGUGGGUAGUCCGCACGAGCGCAACCUCACUUUUAGUUGCCAUCAUUAAGUUGGGCACUCUGAAAGAACUGCCAGUGAUAAGCUGGAGGAAGGUGGGGAUGACGUCAAGUCCUCAUGGCCCUUACGUGUGGGGCUACACACGUGCUACAAUGGCAUCUACAACAGGAAGCAAAACGGCAACGUUAAGCAAAUCCCGAAAAGAUGCCUCAGUUCGGAUUGCACUCUGCAACUCGAGUGCAUGAAGCUGGAAUUACUAGUAAUCGUGGAUCAGCGUGCCACGGUGAAUGCGUUCCCGGGUCUUGUACACACCGCCCGUCACACCAUGGGAGUUGGUUCUACCUUAAGGCAAGGUUUCAAACCCUUGACCACGGUAUAGUCAGCGACUGGGGUGAAGUCGUAACAAGGUAGCCGUAGGGGAACCUGCGGCUGGAUUACCUCCUUUCU
rnacentral:rRNA from 1 species